rnacentral:rRNA from 1 species
AGCAGCCGCGGUAAUUCCAGCUCCAAUAGCGUAUAUUAAAGUUGUUGCAGUUAAAAAGCUCGUAGUUGAACUUCGGGGUUUACCCAUUGGUCAGGCUUAAUUGUCUGUACUGGUGAGAUAAAUCUCUACCUUCUGAGGAACUUUCAUGCCAUUUAGUUGGUGUGAUAGGAAAUCAGGACUGUUACUUUGAAAAAAUUAGAGUGUUUAAAGCAGGCUAACGUCUGAAUACAUUAGCAUGGAAUAAUGAAAUAGGACGGAUUGGUUCUAUUUCGUUGGUUUCUAGGAUCACCGUAAUGAUUAAUAGGGAUAGUUGGGGGCAUUAGUAUUCAAUUGUCAGAGGUGAAAUUCUUGGAUUUAUUGAAGACUAACUAUUGCGAAAGCAUUUGCCAAGGAUGUUUUCAUUAAUCAAGAACGAAAGUUAGGGGAUCGAGGACGAUCAGAUACCGUCGUAGUCUUAACCAUAAACUAUGCCGACUAGGGAUCGGAUGAUGUUAAU